rnacentral:lncRNA from 1 species
AACCGACUGAGACAUGUCCAGAUGAAAAAUCCUUGAAACAGGAAUAUCUCUCUUGACAGCAUGGGAAAGAAGAGUAUGGGUAACACGAUCACUAUCCACAUAGAUCCCAUGUACAGGAAUAGUAGGACAUAACGAAGACAUUAAACCUUUGCGAAGCUUUUUGUUAUUUGGAAGGUUAGUCAAUUGUUCUGCCAAAUGCUUUACUAUCAAACUUUUCCCCAUACCAGCUCUGGACGACUGGACGACACGAACAGAUAGCCUUUCAAAAUAACAAGAGUUAAC